UAUGAGAGAAAGCCAUGAC
rnacentral:miRNA from 1 species